GCACUAAGCGUAUUUCCGCCUAAAUUCCUUCAUUUUAACAAACUUGAUUUCAGUCGGAAUUUCUCUCAAUUCACUCCCAAACACAUUUAUAAUACAUUUCUCAACCACCUGACGCACUUCUAACAACAACACCAUCCUUUAUAAAGACAUUUCCAAUAUCAGAUGACAUUGGCAUAACUGAAGAUACAUUCUCAUUAUUUAUCAUCUUUUAAAGACCAAAAUGGAAAUAUUGUACAGAACAGAUAUAUAAGAUUGUUUCUAUAAAUCUAUGGCAGAAUUCCUCUGAUAUAUUUACUCUGAAAUGUGUUAUUAGGAAACCUUCUGGACAUCACUGGCUGGAGUGUCUACAAGAUGUGUCUCUUAGCAAAUUAAACUUGGAUAAAUUUACUAACGAGUUUUGGGACAAAGGUAACACUGGACAGAAAUACAGCAGUCGAAAUACUUGCAAACAAAAGACUAUAGAAGUACAAAGAAGAAAACAUAUAUAUUUAUAUAUAUUGUGAUUUUCAAAGAAGAAUAAUGGAAAAGAGUGAGAAACUAAAGGAUCUGACUUUUCCAGAAAAAAAAGGGAAACAAAAAUUGUCACAUGACUGUGAUGUGUGUAAAAAGUCCUUCUCUGAAAAGGGUAACUUGAAUAAGCACAAACGUAUUCAUACGGUAGAGAAGCCAUUUCAUUGUGACAUCUGUGGUAAAUCAUUCUCU